rnacentral:rRNA from 1 species
AAUAGAUACCCUGGUAGUCCUAGCCGUAAACGAUGAACACUAGGCGUAGUCGGUAUCGACCCCGGCUGUGCCGUAGCUAACGCAUUAAGUGUUCCGCCUGGGGAGUACGGCCGCAAGGCUAAAACUCAAAGGAAUUGACGGGGGGCCCGCACAAGCAGCGGAGCGUGUGGUUUAAUUCGUCGCAACGCGAAGAACCUUACCAGGGCUUGACAUGUGGCGGAAAACAGCGGAAACGUCGUCCUCCCGCAAGGGACCGUCAUGCAGGUGUUGCAUGGCUGUCGUCAGCUCGUGUCGUGAGAUGUUGGGUUAAGUCCCGCAACGAGCGCAACCCCCGUGGCAUGUUGUAUCUCUCAUGCCAGACUGCCGAGAGAAACUCGGAGGAAGGUGGGGAUGACGCCAAGUCAGCAUGGCCCUUACGUCCUGGGCUACACACACGCUACAAUGGCCGGUACAACGGGUUGCCAAACCGCGAGGUGGAGCUAAUCCCUUAAAGCCGGUCUCAGUUCGGAUUGCAGGCUGCAACUCG